CCUAAGCCAGCCAGGAAGGAGGAGGCAGCCAGAGUGGCCACCACUGGUCUCUGCGGCAGAAGACCCCCUGCUGCCAGAGCUAAUGGCAACACACAAAAUUCAACUCUAUGAGCCGUGACAGCAGCUGAGAAAAAUACCAGGAGGGCACCGAAAGGGCAAAGUGCACUCUGCGGGGGGCCAGGUUCACAUUCCUCACCAAUCCUUUGACAUAUCCAUGAUGCAAGAAUCUAUCAAACCAACUAUGCUGGACUCCAACUUGUGACCAUGCAUUUGCUCUUGCAAAUUAAGGCCAUGCAAAUUAAAAUAAUGUUUUAAUGUUGACUCUCAUCCUGCAGAUUUUGACUUUCUGACAGUCUCUGAAGGAACGAGGCCUAACCUCCUCUUUUUGUAUAUAAGAGUUUAAGUUGCAAUUGCCUUGCUUAUUCCCUGUGUUAAGAAGGCUGUGUAGGGGUCAAAGGUUCACAGCUCCUGUUCUAUAGUUUGGUGUUGGAGGGAUAAGAAUUUAACUGUUAAAAUUAUGGUGGGAAGUGGAACUGAGACCCUAGCAGUAUCUACUCUUAGUUGCAAUGUCUCAUAGUGACCACUGGGGGCUUUAAGGUCAUGGAUAAAAAGUAUGGGACUCGUCCCCUCUGUUCUCACAGCGUUUGUACUCUCCAUUUUGUCUCUCCCUGAGAUGGCUGCUAUUUAGUCUCUCACCCCUUUCAACCUUAAGCACAGCUUUCUAUUUAUUUGUAACUUCUAAAUAAAUCCUUCUUGUUCUUCAAACUUAAAGAACUGUCUCCAGACCUCCUGCUUGGCUGAGUUCUAACCAUACUGGCUUUAUUCUACUAAUAGAGGUUAAACUGCCAUUCAUCUCCUAAAUUGAUUGGGGGUAUAUAUAGGAAAGUUAGAGAAUAUAAGGAUGCUGCCUUCAGCAGAGCUUAGUGCAGAGCCAGUUGGAGAGCUGAAGAGAGUGCAGUACAAGUUGGAGAACUGAAGAGUCAGAGUCAGAAGGAAUCGGAAUGAAGAUCAAGUGGACAUUAGAGCUUGAAAGAAUUGCAGAGCUGGAGUGAGAAAGAAGAACUGAAAAGAGUUGCUGAUAAAGAGGGCUGAAAAAUUACUAGGAGAGAGUCAAUCUUUCCGGAGAACUGAAUCACUCACCAGCAGUCUGGGACUGAAACCCCAGAAACUGUGAAAUGAGAGCAGGACCUAAGGCUAAACAAGGGACAAGCCAGGUUUGCUGGAGAAACUGACGUGAUUGCAAAAGACUCUGGGUAAGGUCUCUGAAGUUAGAGUCCAGUGUUAGAAAGGUCAGUUUGGAUGCAUUUUGAUCACAUUUUAUUUCUUCCUUGUGCUCAUUUGGUUGCUGUUUUGGUAUUAAAUUUUCCAAAGGAACUAUUGUUUUAAAUUGAACUGUUUUCAAAGUAAAAUUUCUUGUUUGUAUUUAAAAA